rnacentral:rRNA from 1 species
AUUGAACGCUGGCGGCAUGCCUUACACAUGCAAGUCGAGCGGUAACAGGCCUUCGGGUGCUGACGAGUGGCGAACGGGUGAGUAAUGCAUCGGAACGUACCCAGAGGUGGGGGAUAACGCAGCGAAAGCUGUGCUAAUACCGCAUGUGAUCUGAGGAUGAAAGCGGGGGACCGAGCAGCAAUGUUUGGCCUCGCGCCUUUGGAGCGGCCGAUGUCGGAUUAGCUAGUUGGUGGGGUAAAGGCCUACCAAGGCGACGAUCCGUAGCUGGUCUGAGAGGACGACCAGCCACACUGGGACUGAGACACGGCCCAGACUCCUACGGGAGGCAGCAGUGGGGAAUUUUGGACAAUGGGCGCAAGCCUGAUCCAGCAAUGCCGCGUGCGGGAAGAAGGCCUUCGGGUUGUAAACCGCUUUUGGCAGGAACGAAACGGUGUCCGCUAAUACCGGGCGCUAAUGACGGUACCUGCAGAAUAAGCACCGGCUAACUACGUG